UACGGAGGAUCCGAGCGUUAUCCGGAUUUAUUGGGUUUAAAGGGUGCGUAGGCGGUCAGGUAAGUUAGAGGUGAAAGCUCGAUGCUCAACAUCGAAACUGCCUCUAAUACUGUUGGACUAGAGAAUAGUUGCGGUAGGCGGAAUGUAUGGUGUAGCGGUGAAAUGCUUAGAGAUCAUACAGAACACCGAUUGCGAAGGCAGCUUACCAAACUAUAUCUGACGUUGAGGCACGAAAGCGUGGGUAGCAAACAGG
rnacentral:rRNA from 1 species